rnacentral:lncRNA from 1 species
GAAAUCCCUAUGCAUUUCCUUCUCUGAUUAUUUUAUCCUCCCACAAACCUGCAAAACCCAUCUCUCUUCUCCGUUCGAACUCUGGCGACCUCUGACCGUUCCGGUCGUUCUGACGACAGCCCACACCGCCCACUCGACAUCAGCUCACGUAUCUCUAGCUUGAAACCCAACUUCUUCCUCUCAGCCGUCGAUCUACCGUCGCUGAUUCUUGAAGAUCUUUCUCCUAUUUUCUUGCACCCUUAGACUCUCAACUCUUCAGAUUUUUGUGUUAAUGUGUGAAGAGGUUUCAUAUGGUGCCUUGAAAGUUGGAAGGAUGGAUUGGAAUCUAAUGCUUGGAUUUGGAAGAUUAUGUUUUUAUUUUGACUUUUAAAACAAUGUUUUGCGUUAUUUUGGACAUGUUAUGUGAUU